rfam:Brochothrix thermosphacta DSM 20171 = FSL F6-1036 c30, whole genome shotgun sequence.
AUUUUUAUGUUACAACAGACUCGUAGAGAAGUGAAAGACGGUGGCUAUCCCGAAAGUUGAUGAUGCUUAUUAAAAUAGGUAGCCAAUCUAUGAAAUGAAAUGCCUUUUUGACAGAUUUUGAGUCACUUCAACUAAUAUUUGGCUUUGGAAUAUUUAUUAUUUCAUUACUUUAUUUAGU